GAGCAGGUUUCUCAGUAGGAGCCAGGAACAGACGUUAUGUUCCUGGCUUUUAAUGAGAAACCUGGCAUAACGUCUGUUCCUGGCUCCUACUGAGAAACCUGCUC